AACACAUUACACUGAAGAUGGCAAAGACACAAAUAUAAAACUUUGAAAAUAAAUGAACUGUCUGAGCCAUGGCUUAGCAAACAAGAAGGACAGCUGUCCACUCUUUUUGAAUCUGAAUUCAUGCAUGAUGUCUGCUGGGCGGAGGUCCUCAUCUACCAGGGAACCAGAGUGAGCAGUUAUGAGAGGAAGAGGACAUGGGGGG
rnacentral:lncRNA from 1 species